AGCAGCCGCCACGGUAAUACGUAGGUCCCGAGCGUUGUCCGGAUUUAUUGGGCGUAAAGCGAGCGCAGGCGGUUAGAUAAGUCUGAAGUUAAAGGCUGUGGCUUAACCAUAGUACGCUUUGGAAACUGUUUAACUUGAGUGCAAGAGGGGAGAGUGGAAUUCCAUGUGUAGCGGUGAAAUGCGUAGAUAUAUGGAGGAACACCGGUGGCGAAAGCGGCUCUCUGGUCUGUAACUGACGCUGAGGCUCGAAAGCGUGGGGAGCAAACAGGAUUAGAUACCCCUGUAGUCCCUGUCUCUUAUACC
rnacentral:rRNA from 1 species